AUUGAACGCUGGCGGCAUGCCUUACACAUGCAAGUCGAACGGUAACAGGUCUUCGGAUGCUGACGAGUGGCGAACGGGAGAGUAAUACAUCGGAACGUGCCUAGUAGUGGGGGAUAACUACUCGAAAGAGUGGCUAAUACCGCAUGAGAUCUACGGAUGAAAGCAGGGGAUCGCAAGACCUUGUGCUACUAGAGCGGCCGAUGGCAGAUUAGGUAGCUGGUGGGAUAAAAGCUUACCAAGCCGACGAUCUGUAGCUGUUCUGAGAGGACGAUCAGCCGCACUGGGACUGAGACACGGCCCAGACUCCUACGGGAGGCAGCAGUGGGGAAUUUUGGACAAUGGGCGAAAGCCUGAUCCAGCAAUGCCGCGUGCAGGAUGAAGGCCUUCGGGUUGUAAACUGCUUUUGUACGGAACGAAAAGCCCCGGGUUAAUACCCUGGGGUCAUGACGGUACCGUAAGAAUAAGCACCGGCUAACUACGUGCCAGCCGCCGCCGUAA
rnacentral:rRNA from 1 species